rnacentral:tRNA from 1 species
GGGGGAUUAGCUCAGUUGGUAGAGCGCUGCCUUUGCAAGGCAGAUGUCAGGAGUUCGAGUCUCCUAUCCUCCA